GACGAACGCUGGCGGCGUGCCUAACACAUGCAAGUCGAGCGGAGUCGAUCGACGGAAGCCUUCGGGCGGAAGAUGGUUGACUUAGCGGCGGAUGGGUGAGUAACGCGUGGGCAACCUGCCUCGAAGACCGGGAUAACAGCCCGAAAGGGCUGCUAAUACCGGAUGUGGUCAAGGAUCCGCAUGGAUUUUUGAUUAAAGGGGAAACCCGUUUCGAGAUGGGCCCGCGUCCUAUCAGCUAGUUGGUGAGGUAAAAGCUCACCAAGGCGACGACGGGUAGCCGGCCUGAGAGGGUGACCGGCCACACUGGAACUGAGACACGGUCCAGACUCCUACGGGGGCAGCAGUGGGGAAUCUUCCACAAUGGGCGAAAGCCUGAUGGAGCGACGCCGCGUGAGCGAAGAAGGCCUUCGGUUGUAAGCUCUGUCUGGAGGGACGAAGGAAGUGACGGUACCUCCGGAGGAAGCCACGGCUAACUACGUGCCAGCAGCCGCGGUAAAGUACUCUAU
rnacentral:rRNA from 1 species